rnacentral:rRNA from 1 species
CUACGGGUCGCACCAGUGAGGAAUUUUGCGCAAUGGGGGUAACCCUGACGCAGCAACGCCGCGUGAGUGAUGAAGGCUUUCGGGUCGUAAAGCUCUGUCAAGUGGGAAGAAUAUACGAAAUGCUAAUACCAUUUUGUACUGACGGUACCACUGAAGGAAGCACCGGCUAACUCCGUGCCAGCAGCCGCGGUAAUACGGGGGGUGCAAGCGUUAUUCGGAAUUAUUGGGCGUAAAGAGCACGUAGGCGGCCGCUUAAGUCAGAUGUGAAAGCCCGGGGCUAAACCCCGGAAGUGCAUUUGAAACUAAGUGGCUUGAGUAUGGGAGAGGGAAGUGGAAUUCCUGGUGUAGAGGUGAAAUUCGUAGAUAUCAGGAGGAACACCGGUGGCGAAGGCGACUUCCUGGACCAAUACUGACGCUGAGGUGCGAAGGCGUGGGGAGCAAACAGGAUUAGAUACCCGUGUAGUC